GACAAGACCAUGCGGUGAACUAGGGGCCGGCUAGGAGCUUGCAGGCUCGCUUGCCAGUGGCCACCCGCGCUUGGGAACCAAACGGACAGAAAAACAGCUUCCCCCUCCCACCCCAACUCUGGCAGAGAACAGCAAAGAGGAAAAAUGGGCACCAGGAAAACAAGCCAGAGUGCAGCAAAGGCAGAAGACAGGAAGCCAAAUCAAUGCUUUGAUCCUGCAGCUCUCCACUCCAGCAAAACUCCCACUGACCUCAGCUCUUUUGAUCUGGAACACUUCUGCUUCUAGAUGAAGGGAGCUAGCAGAACUAGAGUCCUUGGAAGAUCACAGCAGCACCGUUUUUACUGUGGGAUUCAGUUCUGUGGAAUUGUUACUCGUAAGAGGGGCUUAGUCCUCGGGCCUCAUCCCCUCCCAUUUAUAACACUUCAGUCCCUAGGACUGGGGCUUUUCAAGUGCUUUUGACAAUCCCAGCCUCAGAAUUUGUCACUCACAGGUGAACGCCUUAGAGGUGACACCUAAUGUUCCUGAUAAACAGCCCAGUGUAAUAAUCAACCUCCAAACAACUGAUGUUUUGCUUCACAGUGUUCGACUGUUAUAUACAGCUUAUUUCUUUCAUAAGUGUGUAGAGGGAGAAAUAUUUCCACCCCUAGAUGGGAAACAGGACCUUGAGGCAAAAUGUUAUUUUCCUGU